AUUGAACGCUGGCGGCAUGCCUUACACAUGCAAGUCGAACGGCAGCACGGGUUCUUGCACCUGGUGGCGAGUGGCGAACGGGUGAGUAAUACAUCGGAACAUGUCCUGUAGUGGGGGAUAGCCCGGCGAAAGCCGGAUUAAUACCGCAUACGAUCUACGGAUGAAAGCGGGGGACCUUCGGGCCUCGCGCUAUAGGGUUGGCCGAUGGCUGAUUAGCUAGUUGGUGGGGUAAAGGCCUACCAAGGCGACGAUCAGUAGCUGGUCUGAGAGGACGACCAGCCACACUGGGACUGAGCCACGGCCCAGACUCCUACGGGAGGCAGCAGUGGGGAAUUUUGGACAAUGGGCGAAAGCCUGAUCCAGCAAUGCCGCGUGUGUGAAGAAGGCCUUCGGGUUGUAAAGCACUUUUGUCCGGAAAGAAAUCCUUGGCUCUAAUACAGUCGGGGGAUGACGGUACCGGAAGAAUAAGCACCGGCUAACUACGUG
rnacentral:rRNA from 1 species